UACAGAGGGUGCAAACGUUGUUCGGAAUUACUGGGCGUAAAGCGCGUGUAGGCGGCUAAGUAAGUCGGGCGUGAAAUCCCACGGCUCAACCAUGGAAGUGCACUCGAAACUGCAUAGCUAGAGUCCUGGAGAGGAAGGUGGAAUGCUUGGUGUAGAGGUGAAAUUCGUAGAUAUCAAGCGGAACACCGGUGGCGAAGGCGGCCUUCUGGACAGUGACUGACGCUGAGACGCGAAAGCGUGGGGAGCAAACAGG
rnacentral:rRNA from 1 species